rnacentral:tRNA from 1 species
UGGGUUGUAGCUCAGUUCGGUAGAGCAGCUGACUGUUAAUCAGAAGGUCCCUGGUUCGAAUCCAGGCUAUCCAGCCA